UUCUGGCUCAGGACGAACGCUGGCGGCGUGCUUAACACAUGCAAGUCGAACGGUGACGGCAGAGCUUGCUCUGCCUGAUCAGUGGCGAACGGGUGAGUAACACGUGAGUAACCUGCCCCUCACUUCGGGAUAACCUCGGGAAAUCGUGGCUAAUACCGGAUACGAGACCUGACUGCAUGGUCGGGUCUGGAAAGAUUUAUCGGUGGGGGAUGGACUCGCGGCCUAUCAGCUUGUUGGUGAGGUAACGGCUCACCAAGGCGACGACGGGUAGCCGGCCUGAGAGGGCGACCGGCCACACUGGGACUGAGAUACGGCCCAGACUCCUACGGGAGGCAGCAGUGGGGAAUAUUGCACAAUGGGCGAAAGCCUGAUGCAGCGACGCCGCGUGAGGGAUGAAGGCCUUCGGGUUGUAAACCUCUUUCAGCAGGGAAGAAGCGAAAGUGACGGUACCUGCAGAAGAAGCGCCGGCUAACUACGUGCCAGCAGCCGCGGUAAUACGUAGGGCGCAAGCGUUGUCCGGAAUUAUUGGGCGUAAAGAGCUCGUAGGCGGUUUGUCGCGUCUGGUGUGAAAACCCAAGGCUCAACCUUGGGCUUGCAUCGGGUACGGGCAGACUAGAGUGCGGUAGGGGUGACUGGAAUUCCUGGUGUAGCGGUGGAAUGCGCAGAUAUCAGGAGGAACACCGAUGGCGAAGGCAGGUCACUGGGCCGCAACUGACGCUGAGGAGCGAAAGCAUGGGUAGCGAACAGGAUUAGAUACCCUGGUAGUCCAUGCCGUAAACGUUGGGCACUAGGUGUGGGGCUCAUUCCACGAGUUCCGUGCCGCAGCAAACGCAUUAAG
rnacentral:rRNA from 1 species